rnacentral:tRNA from 1 species
AAGGGUAUAGCUCAGUGGUGGAGUGCAUGCUUAGCAUGCACAAGGUCCUGGGUUCAGUCCCCAGCACCUCUA